rnacentral:rRNA from 1 species
UACGUAGGAUCCAAGCGUUGUCCGGAUUUACUGGGUGUAAAGGGUGCGCAGGCGGACUUAUAAGUCAGGGGUGAAAUCUCACUGCUCAACAGUGAAACUGCCUUUGAUACUGUAGGUCUUGAAUUAGGGAGAGAUUCGUGGAAUUCCGAGUGUAGCAGUGAAAUGUGUAGAUAUUCGGAAGAACACCAGAGGCGAAGGCAGCGAAUUGGCCCUAUAUUGACGCUCAGGCACGAAAGCAUGGGGAUCAAACAGG